rnacentral:rRNA from 1 species
CCUACGGGAGGCAGCAGUAGGGAAUAUUGCACAAUGGAGGAAACUCUGAUGCAGCGACGCCGCGUGAGUGAUGAAGGCCUUCGGGUCGUAAAGCUCUGUCGCAGGGGAAUAACACAAUGAAGGUACCCUGUAAGAAAGGAUCGGCUAACUUCGUGCCAGCAGCCGCGGUAAU